AACGAACGCUGGCGGCAUGCCUAACACAUGCAAGUCGAACGGGAUCCUGGCUUCGGUCAGUUGAGAGUGGCGGACGGGUGGGUAACGCGUGGGAACCUGCCCAGUGGUGGGGGAUAACUGCGGGAAACUGCAGCUAAUACCGCAUGAGCCCGAGAGGGGAAAGAUUUAUCGCCAUUGGAGGGGCCCGCGUUCGAUUAGGUAGUUGGUGAGGUAAUGGCUCACCAAGCCGACGAUCGAUAGCUGGUCUGAGAGGAUGAUCGGCCACACUGGGACUGAGAUACGGCCCAGACUCCUACGGGAGGCAGCAGUGGGGAAUAUUGGACAAUGGGGGCAACCCUGAUCCAGCAAUGCCGCGUGAGUGAUGAAGGCCUUAGGGUUGUAAAGCUCUUUUGGCGGGGACGAUGAUGACGGUACCCGCAGAAUAAGCCCCGGCUAACUUCGUGCCAGCCGCCGCGGUAAUAC
rnacentral:rRNA from 1 species